UUUGUGACCUGCUUUGAACAGUGAGAUUACGUUUUUGCCCAUUGGAUGCACGUGUCGACCAUCGCUGUGCAACGCCUGCUCCUCCACUUUUCUUCUCCCUUUUUCCCUUCCGUUUCCAUUUUCCCACGCGUCGAUCAUCGCUGGACGUGCUUUCGACUUUUCUUUGCUUUCGCUUCUCUCUCUCUCUCGCCAUUCUCAACUCUAGCUUUCUGUCUCCAAAAUGGCGAUUUUUCUCGCCUUCCAACCUUCCAUCUUUCUCUGAGGAAUUAUCCACAACGGUGCAAUUAGAUCCGAUUCAAUUUUUACCCAGAAACGUUGGCGUUUCCUGGCUCGGAUCCUCCUCUUCUUCUUCACCCAAACCAGCUGCCCCACCUUCGAUUGAUACGGACGGAAACACAACGAAUUGAGCCGCAACACCAAUACUGUAACAAUUAUAAGAAAAGAGCUCCAAACCCGCAAAGAAGUAGGAUUACAAAUAAAUAGCAGCAUGUGAACUAAAUACAAAACAGAAUCAAGAUUGAACUUGAUCUGCAGCAGCGGCAUCCUCUGAGGAAACCGUGUUGGAACAGAACUGUAUUUGUGCAGAUCUUGCAAACGUAUUUGAAGUGUUGUUGCCACAACUUCUGCUGUAUCCCAAUCCUUCUGACGCUUUAAAUGGAGAGGCUGCAGCUUUAAUGAUGCGUUACCAAGCUGCUUAUGAACAAAGAGUUAAAGCAAUUGUCAUUGGACGUGCGUUCGAGCCUUAGGUUUUCCCAAAAUUAGAUCGUUUCUAAUUACGUUCUGCAAUCAUGUUGUGUUUGUCUGUUUUUAAUUGUUGGUGCAAGCUUGAAGGAGAUUGUGAAAAAUUGGACUGACUCCUCCAACAAAUCUGUCAACCACCUCCUUGCCCAAGGUUACUUAAAUGGUGGAGGACAGAUUAAGCCACUGUGAGAAAGUGAGGUUCCAUGUGUUAUAGGUGCUAAUUUAGUUUUCUGCAUUUGCAUCUUUCUGAUUUUUCCUUAUGCUGAGUCCUACAACACUAACUCUGUUAUCGAAGUAACGUUUACAAUUACCUUGGGCAGUUCUAUACUAAACUGAAGGAACAUUGGGAUAUUCAUGCUUUGAAGAAUUAAUUAGUACUAUGCGUGAUUCACAAACACUCAACCGAGCAAAAAACUUUGCUUUUCAGCAAAAUUGGGAAAGCCUAGAAAAAUGACUAUUGGGAAACUGUGUGAUCAUUUUAAAAAACUCAAGUACAUAUCUCGAAAGCUUUUUGUCCAGCCCUGAACAUUUGCUUUCCACAAGAAGAAUUUGGUUUCGUCAACCUUUAAUGCCUUAUCAUCGGAAUAAGUUAAAGGUGGUACAAUAGUUCUAUCCGAUGAUGGUCGCUUUUUUCAAAGUCAAAGGAUGCUGUGGAAUUUCAAGAUUGAAAACCGCUGGCUUUCAAUCUUUUAAAACAAAUUACCUUUGUAAGGUAUCAAAACUAUAAUUUUUCUAUAGCAAAUAAAUUUUUUUCCUUCACUAUGGUAAUUUUGUUUAGAUUAAUUAAUGUUACACUGAUACUAACUCAAAUUUAUACACUGCUAUAAGAUCAAUUUGUAAUCCCGCAGCAACGCGCGGGCAUUACUAGCUAGUUUAUGUGCUAUGGCUAAACUUUGUAUCAUAUAUUUAUUGUCACAUCCUGGCCCGGACUCCCACCAUAUCACGGGCUCGACUCCGCCGUAUAUUGUCUGCUUUGGGUCUCGACCAUGCCCUAUCCGAUGAUGGUCGCUUUUUUCAAAGUCAAAGGAUGCUGUGGAAUUUCAAGAUUGAAAACCGCUGGCUUUCAAUCUUUUAAAACAAAUUACCUUUGUAAGGUAUCAAAACUAUAAUUUUUCUAUAGCAAAUAAAUUUUUUUCCUUCA